ACGUGUUAAUAUGCACUCCAUUUAGAGAUGGUUAAGCUAAAGAUGAAUAAGAAAGGUUUAUAAAAAGGUCAAUGUAAUUCAUGGAUUGUUAAUAAGGCUAAAAAGGUUACAGCAUUUCAUGCUGUAAGAGUAAUUGUAUUUUAUUGUGUUUUCUAACCAGCUAUUACGGUGUGUUCACUACAGUUAAAAUGCGGGGUUAAAUAAAGA